CCUACGAGUAUUACUAACUACAAUGAUGCACGAAUCAUUUUAUUGGAUUAUUAUCCGAGUAAAUCCGAAUUUAACCGAAUGUUACCGAUCUGAUUUGAUGACGUAUAUCUACUCGUUAAAUACAAAACGAAUUUUCGUUUCAGAUCAUAGAAAAGCGUCUUCAUAAGUCCAGAGAAGGUAAAUUAAAAAGGAAUGAAGGUUUAGGAUUAUUACAAAUAACUGUAAUUCUAAAUUAAAAUUAUAUGAUCAUUU